rnacentral:lncRNA from 1 species
GCAGCAUAUGGAGGUUCCCAGGCUAGGGGGUUGAAUUUGAGCUGUAGCUGCUGGCCUACACCACAGCCACAGCGAUGUAGGAUCCGAGCCUCAUCUGUGACCUACACCACAGCUCACAGCAAUGCUGGAUUCUUAACCCACUGAGCAAGGCCAGGGAUGGAACUUGCAUCCUCAUGGAUACUAGUCAGGUUCAUUUUCGCUGAGCCACAACAGGAACUCCCAAGGCAAGACUUUUGAGCUGGUGUUCCAAGGUUUAAAAAACCGUAAGUAUUACAUUAAUUUGAAAAUGAGGUCUGUAGUGUUCACUACAGUACUGGGAAAGCUGGCUGCUAUUUUCAUGGCUAUGGCUGAACGACAGAAGGAGGAUCAAACUGGCAUAAAUUAAAAUAUUACACAGCUCACUGUACUUACUGACAGUCCAGCUGCUUUUCUUGACCAAGCACUCUCUGCAAGUCUUUAGCUAAUAUCUAUAAAAAUAGAAUAAUCAAAGAAUUCAUUCUGACCUUUUUUUCCAGUUUUUUCAUUUCUUUUUUAGAAGGGUGGAGUUUUGAGUUUCUUAGUUUUCUAUUUUUGGGUAUGUCUCCUCCAGCACUCCUUUAAAACUCCUAAAUUGUGUUCAGUUACAUAAUGGCCAGCAAUCUUUAGAAUCUUCCUGGAAUUAUGACAAAAUAUCAGAGAGGGUUGAAAUUCCAAAUGUGAAUUUCUUGUAUAUGGCAUAUAUUCUGGGUAUGCUUUUUUGUUCCAAUGAGGCUAGUAUUGCUUCUUUAAAUGGGAUGUUAUAUUGUUUACAUAUAAAGGGAUUGUUAAUAUUGUAGCACUUAAAUCUACAACUCUAUUGCCUCUGUUUACUAGUAGUAUUACUUUCUUUGUUCCCUUUCUCUUCUUUUUGGUGGUGCGGUCAGAAUUUCUGUGUCUUUAUUAAUUUUAUGUCCAAUUAUUCUAUCAAAAACUUUCUUCUUUGUGGAUUCUAAUUACAUUAUGUUAGAGUGUUUGAUAUUGUCCUAUAGAUUUAAAAAAUAUUUUUUCCAAUAUUUUUCUCAUUGUGUUUGGAUAAUUUCCAUUGACAUAUUUUCAAACCUACUUUUGAGAUGGUUGGAGAAGUUCUUUACUGCUGAUAUCAUGAUUUUGAUUCUACAAUUUCAAUUUGAUCCUUCCUUAUAAAUUCCCCUCUUUGCUUAAAGACUCAUCUCUUCCCCUAUGUUAUCUACCUUUUCUAGUAAGUCUUUUAACAUAUUAAUCAUGAUAAAUUUAGCUCCUAGACAGGUUUCCCUUGGCCAUAUGACUUUAUUAAAACAUCUAGUUGGUUUUUUCAAGAGUUUUUCUUUAUUUUAUUUAUUUAUUCAAUUGUGUUUAUUACUUUAACUAGAUUUAACUUCCAUCAGGGUAAUACCUCUGCCUAUUUUGCUCAAAAUACUAUUUAUAUAUAUUUUUCACUGUGCUGGCAUAAGAUAUAAUUGAUUAAGGGAAAAUACAUAUAUAUCAUUAAAUAAUUACUAAAUUGAUUAACAGUGAUGUUUCUAUACUCCCUCAGAGUGUGUUUAGUUGCUUACAAAGGUGUGACAGCCUUCUUUGAAAAAAACUUCUGUGAGAUUCCAUAGUCUAAGGAAGUUUUUUAUAAAAAGGGCUCCAUAAAACACAGCUAAUUCUCUUGAAAUGGUUUGGUGGAUUGAAGAGGGUGGUAUGAAGCCUGAGAUAUCUAUAGUUAUCUUGAGAUUUCUCCUUAAGCUGAUAGGAUUUGGUAUUUCAACCCUCUUUUUGAUUUUGUGUCAUAAUUUCAGGAGAUCCUAAAGAUUCCUGGCCAUUACACAGCUAAACACAAUUUAGUAGCUUUAAAGAAGUUUUUCAUUUUUUUAGGAGGGGGGGAAAUUUUCUGCCUAUUUAGUGGGAGACCAAAUAGCACAUAGACAGGGGUAUCUCAUCUCUGUUCAAUUUAUGGCAUCACACUUACAAACGGUAUGGCUUGAAGCAGAUUAACUCACUAAUGUAUCACCUAUACAAUGAAAGAAAAAACUAAUAAUAUAUACUUCACUGUGAUAUUGUGCAAAUUAAAUAAGAAAUGAUCUAUGUUAUUCACAGUACCCGAAGCAUUCUUAAAAUAGUGCAAUUUUUGCUGUUGCUAACAUUAGUGUAAAUAUCACCUUUAGAGUUUGGGCUUCGUUGCAUAUACAUCCUCCCCAAGUAUUACUUUUAGGACUUCUUGAAAUUCGCAUCAAAAAAUAUCAUUUUUUUUUUCAUUUGCAGAAGAAAUGUGGCCAUGAAUUGAUUCUGUUAAUUGGUCUUUGCCUGCAGAAUUUAUUGGUGUAUGAGUUUUCCAUAAGCAUUCUUUGAAUUAAAUUCCUGUUUAUGUAUAUAAAGCAGUUUUAUAUGUAGGAAGAACUCAUUAAAUAUGUCUUGAAUAAUUAGAAAUUGGGUUUUCCUAUAAGGUACUUGUUUCAAACUGUAAUUUGGAAAGAGAAAAUAGACUAUUUUAUUUUCUUGCAUUAGAGGGGCUCAAAUUUUAGCAUUCAUAAUAUUUACUGAGAAGUUUUUAAAAAGGAGAUUCCUGGGCUUCAUCUGAAAUUAGCUGAGCCUGAACCUCUGAAUGGAUCCUGAUCCACCAAGCAAAUGGCUCCAAAUCUGUUCCUUUAUAAAUACUACCCUAGAUUGUUAUCUUGCUAAUUUUCAAUCAAACACAAGGAAGAGAAUGAAGUGCAUUCUAACUUAAUUAAGAGAAAGCACAGACAAGUUAUUACAUUAAUCUCUUUCCAUAAGCUUAACAACAGCAUGAGCAGCAAGCCAUGUAAUGAUUGAAUCUAGAAGAAAACCGUAUGUACCUAAUGGCACAAUGGUAAUUGAAAUACGUGCUUAACAUUUUUCAGUUAAAGGUGCAGCCUUAAAUUUACUUAUGAGGAAGUCUGAACAAUAAUCUAUAAUGGUUCACAAAGGUUAGAAAAAACUAUUCUUAGUGGAAAUAGCACAUAAUUUAUGCCUGAAAAUAUGUUUACAAGUACUUUGUGUCAUUUUUUAGUAUUUUAGAUACAUCAAUUCAGAAAUAUAUAAAGCAACACUAACCACUUACUGAAAUGGACAAAAAGAGGAGACAUUUAGUUUAACCUGUGAUAUGCGUAAUAUUUAUUGAUCUUGAUGCAUAUUAUAAACAUGUAUAAGUGGGUCUCACAAUUGAAUACUGUUCCUUUUUAUACUGAAUUACAACUAUUAUUUUUGUUACAAAUAAAUGAUUUUAAAAGCAAACAAUAUUCAAUUAAUAACAGAGUAAAUUAAAGAAAAAUGUAACUGUCCACCCUAUAAUAUGCUUUCAUUUCCUUAUAUUUCUAGUAAUUACAAUUUUAAUAUUAAUUUUUUGAAAUCCCAUAUUAUUAAAACUAUUGUCUUCAUAUACUGCUCAAAUUAGAAAAUUAUCUCUUACAUACACACAAACAUACACACAUAUGCACACAUAUAUUUCCUAACAACUAGCCACUGUGGGAUCUGCACUUUUGAAAAGGUGAAUCUAUUAUUUAUGUUUCAGUAAACUAAUAUUGCUGCUCUCAAAUGAAAAACAUUCCGUUAGUCAAAUAAAAUUGCAAUAAAUGAUAACAUAGAUCAAGAAACAGACCAGUUAUUUAAAUUAAUUCAUCAUGUCCUAAUUUAUAGCUUGAAAAAUUGAAGGCUGAAGAACUUUUGAUGAAGAUCCUGAAGUCACUCUCAUCUAAUCAGUGGAAUAAAGGCUGAAAUCGAUGGCUUCUUCUUAGUUCAGUGUUUGUUUUGCGAAAAUUUUUUGCCCCAUCAAGGUAUUUGGCAGCUAAAGUAGUGAUUGAUAGGGCCAUGGGAACAUAUUUGUUCUACUGUUUAUUUGUUUUUCUUUUUUUUCCUUUAAUUAAUGGACUUUGUUUCUUAGAGAAGGUUAAGUUUACAGAAAAAUUUAACAGAACAUUCCGAGAGCUUCUGUAUACUCCCUUUCCCCAAGCCCACAGUUUGUCCAAUCCUUAACACCUUUCACUGGUGUAUAUUUGUCACAACUGAUGACCCAAUACUGAUACAUUAUUAUUAAUCAGAGUCAACAGUUUACAGUAGGGGUCACUUUUUCUGUUGUAGAGUUCUAUGGUUUUUAACAAAUGUUUCUCAUGUUUCGACCAUAACUGUAUCAUACGCAAUAAUUUCCCUGUCAACCCCCCCAAAAAAAAAACUCUGCUCCACAAUUUCAUCCCUUUCCCACCGCUCCCUCUAUAUACCCUAAGAACACUAGCUUGUCUUUUCCAGAAUGUCCCAUAGUUGAACUCAUACAGUAUGAAGAUUUUUUUCUGAUUGCCUUCUUUCACUUAGCAAUAUUCAAGUUCCAUCUAUUUCUUGUUUUGCCUUGCUAGCUCAUUUGUGUUUUGCACUGAAUAAUAUUUCAGUGCAUGUAUGUGCCACAGUUUGUUUAUUCAUUGGAGGCCAUCUUGGUUGGGUCAAUUUUUGGCAAUUGUGAAUGAAGGCUGCCAUAAACAUUUCAGGUGUAUUUGCAUGGACAUAAGUGUUCAACCCAUCUGGGUAAAUACCUUGGUUGUGAUUAUUGGGUUGCAUGGUAAAAACACAUUAACUUUAUAAACCACCAAACAGUCUUUCAAAGUGGUUGUACCAUUUUGCAUUCCCUCUAGAAAUGAAUGAGGGUUUUUCUUGCUCAAUAGCCUCACCAGCAUCUGGUAUUGUCAAUGUUCCAGUUUUGGCCAUUCUAAUAGCUAUAUAGUGCUGUCUCAUUGUUUGUGUGUGUAUUUUUUUUUUAAUUUGCAUUUCCCUGAUGACAUAUGUUAUGGAACAUUUUUUCAUAUUAUUAUUUGCCAUCUGUAUAUCUUCUUUGGUGAUAUGUCUGUUAA